rnacentral:lncRNA from 1 species
AUGGAUUGGGCUUACUUAGCCACUAAGGCUUUACAUUCAUUCGAAAAGAACAGCGACUACAAAAUCCUAAGAGUAAAGAGGGUUUCUCCCUAUUUUGAACCGAGGCCCCAGCAUCCAGCCUCCCACUUGUGCGGUGUUCCCGCGCCCCGCUCGCGGGCUGCCUCCCCUUCCCGGGUCCCCCAGUUGGGGGGCAGCAGGAGCGCGGGCGUCUCCACGUGUUUACCGCACUUCUGCUUCCGCUCACACAGAAAACAACCCGAGGGCGCAGCUAACCCGCCCCCGGCCCCGCCCCGGCGCCCUCGUGACGUCAUCCCCCAGGGCCGCUCGGCGCCGCCGAUCACUUGGAGCCACGUGAGGCCGCCGGCGGGCUGCGUAGUGACGCAGGCGCGAGACUGUGCGGUGGCAGCCAUGGCGGACGGCUGCGAUGAGGCUGCUCCUGGGUCUCGCGGCUAUCCAAGACCAUCGAGGGUCCCCGGCGGCGCCUGCCGUCUGCUGAGGCUGGCAUCCACGUACCUGGCGGCCUCCCUCAUCGCGUGCUGUUGGUAGGGGGGCGAGUCAGGCCCUGUACACGUCCUGACAGGCACCCGGCCCACCCCCAGCCAACUGUGCGCUGUGUUCCUGCCCCAGCACGAGACCUGUGGGGUGUCCGCGGCAGAAGAUGUCAGAGCUGGAAGAGACCUGAGAGGCGAUCCCUUGGUGGGUGAUGGUUCUUCCGGGAAUCUGGUGGUAAGUGUCGGGGAGGGUCUGGCCUGGUGGGUCCCUUCACUUCCUUUUGAGUGUUGAUUUUCUGUAAGUCCCUCUGUCCAGGAGUUCAAAACCACCCGCUUACCCUACCUUCCCAUGUUGCCUAUCAGGUGAUGGAGUCCCAGAAAGCGUAACUGUCUGCCAGCUCACGAGGCCGUUUUGUGCAGAUAGUUUGAUUACCUCUGUGGUUGGGAUUCAACUUGUCGCCUUUUCCCCGGGAAUCUCCAGAUGAGCGGUGUGUCAGCCUGGAAAAGGUGGGCUCCUGCCGCAUCCCUGUGGCAGAGGCCUCUUAGCUCUCUGCAGUCAGGAGUGGGAGCCCAGGUUCACGCCCAUUUAUUGCCGCUUGCUCUCAAUUGGCAUUUGUUACAAUCUCUUGUUUAUGCUCUUACAUUACUUAAUUGUAACAGCAGUUUCCUGGUUUUUAGAGACGAGGAAGUGGGAGCCGAGGGUGUGACCUGCUGCACUGACACCCCAGGCCUUUGGGCCUCUUCUCUAGGCAGGAUCAAAUCCUUGCUCUCUUUCCAGGAGGCUGGGAGUUCUGGUUCUCGGCCCAGGCUGGGGGGGAAGGCCUCCAGGCCACGUGUGCAUGUCUGACCAACAUUCUCUGACGCCAGGUUUGCGCGCCUUGUCGUCUGCUUCCAGAACAAGGAUCUUCGCUGUACGCCAAGACCCAGACCCCUCUGACAUCGGAAUGACAAGUGGGAUAUUUAAUAAAACAGUUUCAAAUUUGGAGUCA